AUGUCGACGUGAGACUUACAGGUCUAUAGUUAGCAGGAUCAAGUUUAUCUCCUGACUUGUACAAAGGCGUGAUUGUUGCUUGCAACCACUCGUAGGGCAAAGUGCCUUGUAAGAAUGAUUUUGUCAUCAUUUUGGCAAGUGGGCCCGACAACGAAGCAGCACAAGUUCUCAGGAGUUUGGGAGGUAUCUGAUCCGGACCUGGAGCUGUAUUUAAUUUAAUGGCACAGAGUUGGCUUUUUACCAGAUCCGGAGUAAAAUUAAUAUAAGACAACCCACUAAAUGUAGCAGCAAAACUGUCCGCUAAAGUGUUUGCAGUUUCUGUAUGAUCGGAGCAGAGUAGACCUGAAGCAUUUCGUACUAAAGGGACCGACACACGACUAGAGAUAAAUUUACGUACAUGGGAAUAAAAUAGUUUUGGUUUAUUUAAUAUAGAAUUUUCAUAAUUACACCUGGCUAUUUGUAAAUCAGAUUUUAGUUGGUUAGAAAAUCUUUUAUAAGCAGAAAAAUUAUCUUCAGUAGGCUUCCUUUUAAAUUUUUUCCAUAAUUUAGCUUUGUAUUUUAUUUUGUCAAGCAUGUGUUGAUUUAUCCACGGUUUAUCUUUUCUCAGUCGGUUUGUAAACAGUCUGGAAUUUGUUGUAAUGCAAGUUUGUAAAAUCGAUUUAAAAUGUUUCCAUUGUUCUUCCGCAUUUAGUGAAUCUAAACCAUUCCAGUCGUAAGUCAAGAGACUUUCGUCUAUGCGAGUGUAGUCAACAAUUGAUGUUGUUUUAAUUCUUGCAUUUGGCUCUGAAUAUAUCAUAAUUUGUAACUCAAUUUCGAUUUUUGAAUGAUCAGAUGUACCUACAGGAUUCGAAACGUUUAAAGACGAUACAAGGUUAACGUCAGACAAAAUUACCAAAUCAAGUAAUGAAGGACGUUGUUGGGAUCUAAAUCGUGUAGGUUCAGUGACUAUUUGUGACAAAUUAUUCUCCAAGAGCAAUUCAGAAAAUUGUUUUUCGGUGAUUGUUUGACCUGUUGUGUUUUUAGCAGACCAGUCUAUACAUGGAAAAUUGAAAUCUCCCAUGAUAAUUAAGUUAGGAUACUGAUUAAUAGUUGAUUGUAUGGUAUUAAAUAGAUUUUUAUCAUUUUCGUGAUUGUUAAAAGACGCUCCUGUUGGUGGUCUGUAAAUACAUGCUAUAACAAAGGUUUGUUCAUUUCCUUCAAAUUUUAACCAUAGAGAAUCAUAAGGUUUAACAGAUAUGCAAAUUUGAGUAAUUUUAAAAAAUUUUGAAAUUUUAAUUUUAUCUACAUAAAAACACACACCGCCACCUUUUUGAGAUAGGCGAUCAUCUCUGUAAAUAGAGUAAUUUUCAAUGUGUACAGCAUCAUCAGAGAUAGACGGAUUAAGCCAAGUCUCCGUGAGUGCGAUAAUAGAAGGUCUAAAUUCAGUUACUUCUAAUAACAAAUCAUUAAAUUUUGAAGAUAAAGAUGCGAUAUUCGUAUACAGAAGAGCCAUUGAACAAGGUAAUUUCCAGAGGAAACAACAACAACCACAUACACCCAGAUAUCAAAUUCAACAAUCAACACCAAGAAUCAACCACUGAAAAUGAAUCCCAAAGGCAAGAGCACGCAGAGA